rnacentral:tRNA from 1 species
CGAUAGCUCAGCGGUAGAGCGCAAGGCUUUUAACCUUGUGGUCGCGGGUUCGAUCCCCGCUCG